rnacentral:rRNA from 1 species
UACAGAGGGGGCAAGCGUUGUUCGGAAUUACUGGGCGUAAAGGGCGCGUAGGCGGCCUUCUAAGUCGAACGUGAAAUCCCCGGGCUCAACCCGGGAACUGCGUCCGUGACUGAAAGGCUUGAAUCCGGGAGAGGGAUGUGGAAUUCCAGGUGUAGCGGUGAAAUGCGUAGAUAUCUGGAGGAACAUCGGUGGCGAAGGCGGCAUCCUGGACCGGUAUUGACGCUGAGGCGCGAAAGCCAGGGGAGCAAACGGG